rnacentral:rRNA from 1 species
GAGUCCGCGGUCUCAUUAGCUACCUCCANNNGUAAUGGCCUACCAAGGCAACGAUGAGUAGCUNCUCUGAGAGGAUGAUCAGCCACACUGGAACUGAAACACGGUCCAGACUCCUACGGGAGGCAGCAGUGGGGAAUAUUGCGCAAUGGGCGAAAGCCUGACGCAGCAACGCCGUGUGAGGGAUGAAGGCUUUCGGGUCGUAAACCUCUGUCGGAAGGGAAGAACGGGCAUUGGUCUAAUAGGCCUUUGUUUUGACGGUACCUUUAGAGGAAGCACCGGCUAACUCCGUGCCAGCAGCCGCGGUAAUACGGAGGGUGCAAGCGUUAUUCGGAAUUACUGGGCGUAAAGCGCACGUAGGCCGCUUUGUAAGUCAGGGGUGAAAUCCCACGGCUCAACCGUGGAACUGCCUUUGAAACUGCAGAGCUUGAAUCCUGGAGAGGGUGGCGGAAUUCCUGGUGUAGGAGUGAAAUCCGUAGAUAUCAGGAGGAACACCGGUGGCG